CGCCUCUUGUACACCAAUAAUAAGAGGUCCCGCCUGCCCUGUGACUACAUGUUUAACGGCCGCGGUAUUUUGACCGUGCAAAGGUAGCGCAAUCACUUGUCUUUUAAAUAAAGACCUGUAUGAAUGGCAUCACGAGGGUUUAACUGUCUCCUUCCCCCAGUCAAUGAAAUUGACCUACCCGUGCAGAGGCGGGUAUGAUAACAUAAGACGAGAAGACCCUGUGGAGCUUUAGAUGUAUAGCUGAUUUUAUAGCAUACCCCUGAGAAGGACUUAAAAAGUAACACUCUGCUAAAUAUCUUCGGUUGGGGCGACCGCGGGGUAAAAAAUAACCCCCGUGAGGACUGGGGUGAAACCCUAAAGCCAAGAGCACCAGCUCUAAGCAUCAAAAAUUUUGACCUUGAGAUCCGGUAAUACCGAUCAACGAAUCAAGUUACCCCAGGGAUAACAGCGCAAUCCCCUUCAAGAGUUCUUAUCGACAAGGGGGUUUACGACCUCGAUGUUGGAUCAGGGCAUCCUAAUGGUGCAGCCGCUAUUAAGGGUUCGUUUGUUCAACGAUUAAAGUCCU
rnacentral:rRNA from 1 species